rnacentral:RNase_P_RNA from 2 species
AGAGUAGGCGAGGCGGUUGCAGAUUCUUUUUAUAAAGAGUCUGAGGAAAGUCCGGGCUUCCGAAAGACCAGACUUGCUGGAUAACUCCCAGUGCGCGCGAGCGUGAGGAUAGUGCCACAGAAAGAUACCGCCAAGAAAGUUAGGAGGGAGGAGUUAGGAGUGAGGAGUUAGGAAUUAAUAACUCAUAACUCAUAACUCAUAACUCAUAGCUAUUUUGGUAAGGGUGCAAAGGUGCGGUAAGAGCGCACCAGCAGCAUCGAGAGGUGCUGGCUCGGUAAACCCCGGUUGGAAGCAAGGUAAUGGAGCUACGGUUGGUCUUUUACCAGUUCCGUUAAAUGAGCCGCUUGAGGCGUUUGGUAACAAAUGUCCCAGAUAGAUAACUGCCGUUUAAUAUAGAGAUGCUAUACGUAGUGUUUCUUAUUAGAUAACAGAACCCGGCUUAUGUCCGACUCUCUCU